CCGUCCUUCCGUCCUUCCGUAACAUUUUGUGUCAGCUCUGUAUCUCCUAAACCCCUUGAAGGAUUUUCAUGAAACUUGGAUCAAAUGGUCACCUCAUCAAGACGAUGUGCAGAAUCCAUAAGUCAGCCAUGUAGGUUCAAGGUGAAGGUCAUAACUCGAGGUCAAAUGUUUGAGCCUUCCAUUUCGUGUCUGCUCUGUAUCUCUUAAACCCCUUGAAGGAUAAUCAUAAAACUUAAAUCAAAUGAUCACCUCAUCAAGCCGAUGUGCAGAACUUAUGAGUCAGCCAUGUCGGCUCAAGGUCAAGGUCACAACUCAAGGUCAAAAGUUUGAGCCUACCAUUUUGUUUUCGCUCUGUAUCUCUUUAACCUCUUGAAGGAUAAUUAUGAAACUUAGAAUAAAAGAUCACCUCAUCAAGACAAUGUGCAAAACUCAUGAGUCAGCCAUGUCGGCUAAAGGUCAAGGUCUCAACUCAAGGUUAAAGGUUUGAGCCUUCCAUUUUGUGUCCGCUCUGUAUCUCCUAAACCCCUUGAAGUAUUUUCAUCAAACUUGGGUCAAAUUAUCACCUCAUCAAUACAAUGUGCAGAAUUGAUGAGUCAGCCAUGCCGGCUCAAGGUCAAGGUCACAAAUUAGAGUCAAAGGUUUGAGCCUUCCAUUUGGUGUUCAUUUUGUAUCUGCUAAACCCCUUGAAGGAUCUACAUUAAACUUGGAUCAAAUGAUCACCUCAUCAAGAACUCAUGAAUCAGCCAUGUCAACUCAAGGUCAAGGUCACAACUCAAGGUCAGAGGUUUGAGUUCUCUAUCUUCUAAACCCCUUUUAGGAUUUUCAUGAAAUCUGGGUCAAAUGAUCACCUCAUCUAGACGAUGUGCAGAAUUCAUGAGUCAGCCAUGUCAGUUCAAGCUCAAGGUCACAGCUCAAGGUCAAAGGUUUACCCUUUCACUAUCCAUACCAGUGGCGGGGGAUUUAGCUGUCUUUCAGACUGCCUUUUGAAAUUUAAAUACCGAAUCUAUUUUGCAAUAAUAGCUUUAUGCCUGAUAAAAACAUUUUCUUAAAUAUAUAUAUAUCUCCAAAACUGUAUUUUUGAGGGGAUGCGCUUUCUCGGGAAAAAAACAACAAAAAGCAUGUUUCAUAUAAAAUACGUAUUCUUGUAAGCCGCCGCCUCACAGUUUGAUGAUAUCAGCGAAGGCAUUUUCCAUCAAAAUUUAGAAAUUACUUGCAUCUAUAUACUAGUUUGUCUCCAAAUUUAACUUCACAGCGAUUAAGCUCAUAAUUUCUCGCAUAUCCGUCUGUCGAGUAAAACAGGAUCACGCUGUAAAACACACAUUAUUUUAGCAAAAGAAACGCGAUUGUAUUUGAUAAUUUAAAGUCAUGAACCAUUUAGAAAUGAUCAGUAUUUAACAUAAUUAAUUUGUCCUAAAUUAUAACGUAGAAACCACAAAAAAGUUAAACGACAGAAAACAUGAUAUUACUAUAUAAUUUUGUUUUGCUUGCGAUAUAUGCUGUCUUAAUGUAAACCAAUGUUCAAUGGAUAAGCUCAUAUAAAGCAGAGUUUGUAAGUAAACCUUGUUUUUAUCGACAGGCUUUCCAUAAGCAUUGAAUUUACGCAAAAAAAUGGGAAACUAGGUUUUGGACUGUUUGAUGAAUUUAAAUUCUUUUAACUUUCUGACGCAUUUAAAAAUCUUUUUAAUUAAACCUAACCUUUAUGCCAAAGUCUGGAUUCUAACUGUGUUGGAGUUUAUUUCCUGUGAAAUGGUUUUCUUUGCUGAAUUGUUAUGUUUUUUAAUUUUCACAACGGGUCUAUUUUGAGGUAGUACAAAAUCUUGAGUAGAUGAUCUAAAUAAGAAAAUCGGUUUCUAGCUGCCCAAUACGACUUAUUUCUCACAUAAAUGUACUUACAUUUGAUCAUGUCUGAAUCAGUCAAACGCUAAAGGUUUAUAUUAUGCGUCAUGCUAUUCAUUUUUGACGUUUCUGAAACAAGGAAGCACGUUAAAUAUUUGCCAAUUUGCUAUGAUUUACCAUUAAAGCUCAUCCGAUACAAUUCUUACAGCAAAAACGUGUUUCUUUUGCAAAAAUGAGAUACAUGUAUGCGUUACAGCAUGAAUCUGAUUUAGCCAACAUAUUGGGGGUAUGCAACAAUAUUAAACAAAUUGCUUUGCAAUUAAAUUUUGAGACGGACUGUACAUUUAUGCUAUACGUGAUUGGUAAAUAUUUUUAAAGACUGAAAGAUAAGGGGUCGACCAUUUUAACUUGUAGGGUGUGUGUACGGUAGGGGAUUGAGGGGAAGUUUUUCAUGGAGACAAGAAUAGUUUUGUUGCUUUAUAUGAAAGCCAGAUUUUUUUUCAGAGUAAACCAAAGGUAAUUUCUUUCCUUUUCAAAGAUUUUUGUUAUACUUUCGUUAUUCAAAAACUAAUAAGCACAAAACAGAUAUAUACAUUCUAUCAUUCUGUACUGAAUAAUUUUGCUUUAAGGUAGUUAAUCAGAUUUUUGGUCAACUAAUGGAUUUGUUCUUAACAUUACAAGCAGAUCAUUUACACUUAUUUGUCUUCACAAAUUUCUUAAUACAUGUCCGAUUUUCACUAAAACUAUUUAUUGUUAGUUUAGCAUAAGAAUAAAUUUUGUAAACACAUUUUCCCUAAGAAAUGAUAUUAAUAUAAGCACUAUUGUGUGAAAGGUGUCAAAGAUUUGCAUUGACGAGUACAGAUUUUGCCAAAAUUCAUUAGAAAUGCAAGUUUAUAAACUUUAUAAACUCAUUACCUCCCUUUGUCUAUCUUGGUUGCACAAGAUAGAUUUAAACACUUUUGUAUUAAAGGGAGAUAAUUGCAAAAUUUCAUAAAAAGUAACAAAUUAUACAUUUCCAACAGGGAUCUAACUUUGUGUAAUGGGUCUUUCCGUUCCUUAAAUAAAUCUCUAAAGAAAUACAUGAAAACUGAAAAAUUCAGAAAAUGUUGCUCAGAUGUGAUUGACUACCUUUAAAGCUGCUCGCCCGCAGAAAGGUUUAUGGAUUCACCGCACUAUAUGGUUAUGUAGGAAAAAGUAAAGCGUUGCAAACGGUUUAUUAUUUUUCAAUAUAGCCAUAUAGUGCUGUGAAUCCGUAAACUUGUCUUCAUUAGCCAUUUUCUCAAAACGCUUCGUAGAUUUUCGCUUAUUUUGUUGAUUUUACCUUUUCAUUUUAUAUUCAUGUUACAAAAAUGUUGCUUUUGGGAAAUUUAUUUUUUUCGACCAAACUGAGGGCGAGCAGCUUUAAGUAUAUAAAAUAGAUAAAUGCAAGUCUUUUUGGAUAAAUUUUUAGAUAAAAUCAGUCUGUUCCAAAUUAUAGUCCCUAACUUUGACCUAUGUAACAAACUUCUAGGAGCAAAAUGUUAGGUAUACCAAAUAACACAAAUAAAUGAACCACCAGGGGCACGACCAGGGGCCAAAAAUGGUUACUGAGGGACAAAUUUUGGUGGGGGUACGGGUGCAUGAUCCCUGGAAAAAAAAUUGAAUGGGAAAACAGCUCUCGUGCAUUUUGAUGUUUAUUUUUGUAUUUAAUUUUCAUCCAAACUUCUGAAAUUAUUGAGUAUUUUUCAAAAACAAUUGCUUUUAGGUAAAACAAAUGACAUAACUAUCUAGACCUUAUGCAAGCUGCAAGUUGUCUGAUUGGUAAAGAAAGGGAGAAGACGCAAAAUAUCUUGCGUAAAUAUAUGAGACUCUGGAUCUGUUCCCUGCUCUGGUUUUCCUUGACAUAGGUUUAUUAUAAUGUUACUGAUACAUUUUUUUACCAUAUUUUAAAGUGCAGUAAGCAGAAGAUUUUUGUUAAACUGACCUUAAAUUUGAAUUUUAGGCUCUCCGAAAGGUAUGCUUGCUGCUUUUUUGGUUGGUGCAUUUGAUUUGUGAAUGUCAGGUCCUGAAUUAUUAAGGGUUUUAACAUUAAAAUAUAGUUGUCGGUUACUCUCAGUUAUUUUAGGUAUGCAUUAUAUAAUAGAAAACCUGGCCUUAGAAAACAACAGUUAUCGGAGGACAGUAACACUUGACAAUUUAACAUUCUUAUCAAUAAAGAAAGAAAUACAAAAGUAAAAAACGGAUAUUGCUUUCUGAAAAUGCAACACAGAGUUAUUGAACCUUUACAAUCUAGUACAGCCUGUCAAAGUGAACAAACGUGUGAAGUUCCGAUAUGGGUACUGAGAUACCAGCUUACAUUCAAAAUCAUAACCAAAAUUUGCUAAGUUGAAAAAGGGGCAUAAUUUUGUAAAAAGAAUAAUAAUUAUGGAACCUAUUAGGUGCAAGUUAAUUCAUAAUGGUGAAUAAAUGUGUAAAGAUUGAAUCCAUUCCAAUAAGUGGUUAAUGGGAUACUAGCUUACAUACAAAAACUAUGCAUAAUCGGUAUGCCGACAAUUGGGUGAGCACAAUAGUUUUAUUCUUCAAAUAGUCAUGAUAAAAGAAUUUUAUUAGAAAGCGAGACAUUUGGAAGUAAUAUGUACAUGUCUAUAAUAAAUUAUAGUGAGUUUUAGGAUAAAGUUCUUAGGAUGAUCUUAUCAGUAAGAAGGAAAGAUAUAUACAUACACACACACAAACGAUUGUGCUCUCUUUUUCUACCGCCUUAAAGUAACGAUUGCACCUAUGUAUACUGUUUAGUGUUCAAAUAUUGAAAUUAUCAGUGUACAUAUUGUAGGUAAAAUCCAUGCAGUCUUCCUCGGCAAUAAUUGCUAUUAAAACCUCGAUGGAAAUGCUGCUUUUCCCGAAUAACUGGGAAAGAGUGUUCUGUAAUGAUUAAUAAAGAAUAUUCAGAGUAAACUAAUGGAGUUUUUUUAAAGACAUUAUCUGACUUGUAAACAGAACAUUUCUUUUCAGUGAUUUGGACGCCAGAUUUGAUUUCUUUUUCAAUAUGUUGAAGCGAGAAUAUUCUUUUCAAUCGAAUUCAUGGUCAGCUCCCCCAAGCACCAGAAUAUCAAAUGGUCGGCCCCUAGGGAACAUUUUCCCGUCCUUAAGGGUUAACCAGUAAAUCAUGACGCACAGAUUACUCACAACUCAAAUUUAUUUUCAGAUAUAACUGUCACGUGUGCAACAUGUAAAAACAAUUAGUUGCAAAAUGAAUUCAGUGCCACGAAAAUGAGCCACUGUACCACAGUACCUAAGAAGAGUCAAUUUUGUAAAAUGUAGCUCAUUUCCAAUUUCAUACCCAUCGCAAAAUUAUUUACAAGAUGCGAGGAAGACGGAAUCUUGUUUUAUUUUAAAACUACGCUUCCUGGUUUCUUUGAAAAAUGCAUAUUUGUUUGCGUCGAAAUUCUACAACAAAGUGAUUGAUUCUUGUAUUUACAUCUUGUGUUAUUUCCCAAUGACAGACAUACAUUUUACACACAAUUUCGUGUCAAUAAAGAUAUUCAGUAUUUUCUCUGUAAAUGCGAAUCUGCUGCAUUUAGCUUUCAUGUAACUGAAUUUAAACAAGAGUAACUUGUAUGAAGACCAGCAACUGCAUUUAUUUGGCGAAGCAUGGCGUUAUUUCCUGCUCUUUGUUUAAUUAAUAUAUAUGGUCCAUGUCACUACUUAAGACCAAUUCUCAGUAAGAACCAAAAAAAGUUGGAAACUCAUAGUCACAGAUUUCCUUUAAACUGAUUUUUUCCUGAAGAGGGUGCAAACUUAAGAAAAUCCUGUUUUUCAUUUUUUCAAUAUAUGUCCCGGUUACCAUGGAAACGAGGAUGCAAAUCCCCAACUUGCUUAAUUUUCAAAAAAGUAGGGGUGCAUGCCUAUUUUGUUAUCUGGAAAGUACUAGAAAGUGUCCUUUAUUUUCUUACUUGAAAAUUUUAAAGGCAAAUGAACAAGGUUUCAUACCAAACUAAUAUUUCCAAAUAUUUAUUUGUUUCUUGUAUGAUCUAGACUUUUAUCUGCAAGAAAAAAUAUAUUUAUGGGGCAAAACAUAUGUUUAUAUUGUGCUCUACAUCUUGAAAAGUGCACAGGUCUCAGCAGAAAAGUAUAUUUGUUUGUAUAAAGGGAAGAUGAUAUUUCAAAAAGAAACAUAAAUCGUAGUGGGUCAUUCAGACACAUUCUUGUAGAUUUGGGCCAAAGUUUAUGAUUUGGGGCAUUUUUCCUAUUUUUAUUACCUCCCCUUGAUGCUCUUCAUUUAGGAAACCACAAAGAGCUUAUCUAAGUUUACUUCCUGGAUUAUGCUGAAUUCAGAUUUCUACUCGGAGUUUGCAAAUUUUUAGUAUAUAGAUACAAUAACAGUCAGAUUUUAUGCUAAAUGGGCAUGUGAUGCUUGGAUGUGUCCCUUCAAACCAAGUCCACGUUUAAAAUUUGCUUAAUAGCAACGUUGUUUGGGGAAAAUACUCUAGCAGAAAAGAGUCUAAACUGUGGAUAGACAUCCGAGUCUGUCAUCUGUCUGUUUAUCUCCAUAAGUGAAGUUUGUAUCAACUGACUAAGGAUCAGUGUUAAAGGAUAACGCUACAACACAGGUGAGUCUCAUAAUAUUUUAUGUUUUAAUAUGACAUGUAAAAAUUUCAAGCUAUGCAAGAUAUGUGCUUACUUCCUUCAACAGAUUCAAGUUCAACAGUUCAAAGACCAUACAGAGGUUAUUUUCUUAAAUAUUGGACAGACAUUUCUUAUUAUUUUACCAAGAUAAAACUUACAGGCAUUUUCCCAUCAUUUUGGGUAUACCAUGCACCAACACCAGUGGAAUUGGGAAAAUGCUCUCAGAAAUUGUCUAAUGUGGAAAUUAUCCAAAUUAGAAUCAACCAAAAUCUAUGUAAAGAUAUUUUUUGUGUAAACUAUUAAUGGAUUACAUUUCAGUAAUUGAGCAACACUAUAAAUGUUGUUGUAAUAACCUAAAUAUAGAUAUAUACAAAUUUUCAAAACCAUUUUAAAACAUCAAACACCCAUAUAAGGUAUCACAUUUGGGAAUUUCAUAUGCAGACUGGGAAGAAACAUACUUUCUUUGGGAUUACCUCCUUUUAUUGGAGCUAGAUUUAUAAUGGAAAAAACCCUGAUUUUAGUUGUAAAUGACCAUUAGCAUGCUUUUUAUGUUAUUUGUAAAAAGCAGAUAAAGACAUAUAUUUUCAUUUCAAAAUGUAUAUAUUUUUGUAAAUUUAUUUGUUUUGUUUUUCAGCUGUAAGUUGUUUCUUUUGAAAAUGACUGCUUGGUGAUAAAGUUUCAAACAACUAUGAAGUGAGUGGAUGUUCUAGAGAGACUAAUUCUUCAAAGAAUGAAUGAUCAUCAUCAUCCUUAUAUUGGAAUAAAAGGAAGGAAGUGACAGCUACAUGGUAAAAGUAAAUGCAGUCAGAAGACCUCUGAUACCACCUGAAGAGCCAGCCUUCUCAAGAUUCUGUAUCAAAUAAAAAUAACAAGGACUGCUAAAAUACUUUUUAUAACUUGCAAAUGUACAGUCUGUGACUCAUCUCUGUAGUAGAGGACACAAGUUUGAAAUGCAUUAUGUCAUUGUGAAUGCAAAAUGUUUAUGAAAAUAGUGUGUGUGUUUUCCAAAUAGAGAGGCUGAAAGUGGGGAAUCAUCAAUUAGUGUUUUUGGAAUAAGUUUAAACAUGGACAUCUGAAUAAUGAAGAUCUGUCCUUUUUUUGGAUUGCCACAGACCAAAAUAAUGAUUGGUGCCUUUGACAUAAAUAGCAGAACUAUCACUGGACACCCUGAAGAGGGACUUAUGUUGUUUGCAUUAAUAUUUCUUUUUCAGAUUUAUGGAAAAGAAUUAGAGCGUCAUUUCUAAAAAAUGUUGAUAGUUGUUUAACCAAAGGCCCAGUAAAUGAAAAAUAUCUUUAUUCUUGACUUUACAUCAAAAUUUAAAAAAUCUGAUAUUGUUUGAUUACUUUUGCAUGUAUAACAUUAAAUUUGUUAUAUUUAAAUUUGAUAAAAUUUAAUGUAUUUUUAAAAAGAUGCACUUGAACAUAUCUAAAUGGAAUAAACGCAUGACAGUAUUUGAAUAUUUGUAAAAAGAAAAGCACAUAUUUUGCAGUUCUCAUCAGAUUUGGAUACCAAUUUACAGCAUAAUUAUACAUGAAGGCUUAUUACUCAAACAUAUGCAAAUCUAAUUGUAUAUUUUCUACCAUAGAUAAUUUUAUUUCAUAUAGAUUUUUUAAAUCUAUAAAAAAAUACUGAGAAAAUAUAGCAAAAUAAUGAUUGAAUUAGUAUACUUGAUUUUGUGAGACUGUUGAAAUAUUACAAUUCUUUUUCCCUCUUAGGCCUGUAUCAUAAAAUCAUAUUUUCUGAUGAAAUUUAUUUUUUUAAGUAUGUCUGCAAUGCAGAUUUUAAUGAAAAUUCAUACAUUUGUAAAGUUACCUAUAUUGUGUUAGGUAAUAACUUGAGCCCAUAUAUACUAAUUGGCCAAUGAUUAAAGAGAACAUUUGAGUUUCUAGCUGACUUUCUGACUAAUUUAAGACCUCAUUCAUGUAACAACAUCUAUUAAUCUUCAGAAAUCCAGUAAAAUUGUCAUCUGUAAAACAUGUUUCAUUCUAAGAUAUACAAGGCAUAUAUCAUCCUAUUUUACCAGCAUGUAUUUACUUUAAUAAAUAAAGUAGAUUUAGUUGUGUAUUUUGAUAUAUUUUGGAAAAAGCAUUAGGAGAUAUGUCUGCAACUGCAGUUUGUAUUAACUGAGUAUUUACUGGCACUGGAAUGUGCAUGAUCAGGGUUUUUCUGAAUAAACUUAGUAAAGUCUUAAAUCUACAUUAUCUAUAGCUAUCGGUAAAAAGUCUGACCAUUGUCUUGAUAGUUUGAAAGAAUUAAAUACAUUUGAGCCGUGCCAUGAGAAGACCAACAUAGUGGCUUUGCGACCAGCAAAGAUCCAGAGCAGCCCGCGCAGUCUGGUCAGGAUUCAUCCUGUUCGCUUUCAAAGCAUAUUACAAUUAGAGAAACUGUUAGCGAACAGCAUGGAUCCUGACCAGACUGUGCUGAUGCACAGGCUGGUAUGGAUCCAUGCUGGUCGCAAACGCACUAUGUUGGUUUUCUCAUGGCGCGGCUCAUUUAAAGUUGUAUCUAGCAAAAUAUUGACUAAAUUGUUCUGUAGAUCAUUUGAUUUAAUUUGAUUGUUAAAUAAAGAAUGUGCAUCAUGGUUGUUGUUACAUGAACAUAUUGUAUAUUUUUUUAAUAUCAUGAUAUUUUUCAGUCUUGGAUAUACACUGUUAUUAUGUCUCCCCCAGGAGACAUAUUGUUUUUGCCCUGUCCGUCCGUCCGUCCGUCCGUCCGUCCGUCUGUACGUCACACUUCAUUUCCGAGCAAUAACUGGAGAACCAUUUGACCUAGAACCUUCAAACUUCAUAGGGUUGUAGGGCUGCUGGAGUAGACGACCCCUAUUGUUUUUGGGGACACUCCGUCAAAGGUCAAGGUCACAGGGGCCUGAACAUUGAAAACCAUUUCUGAUCAAUAACUAGAGAACCACUUGACCCAGAAUGUUGAAACUUCAUAGGAUGAUUGAUCAUGAAGAGUAGAUGACUCCUAUUGUUUUUGGGGACACUCCGUCAAAGGUCAAGGUCACAGGGGCCUGAACAUUGAAAACCAUUUCCGAUCAAUAACUAGAGAACCACUUGACCCAGAAUGUUGAAACUUCAUAGGAUGAUUGUACAUGCAAAGUAGAUGACCCCUAUCGAUUUUGGGGUCACUCCAUUAAAGGUCAAGGUCACAGGGGCCUGAACAUUGAAAACCAUUUCCGGUCAGUAACUUGAGAACCACUUGACCCAGAAUGUUGAAACUUAAUAGGAUGAUUGGUCAUGCAGAGUAGAUGACCCCUAACGAUUUUGGGGUCACUCUGUGAAAGGUCAAGAUCACAGGAGCCUGAACAUUGAAAACCAUUUCCGGUCAGUAACUUGAGAACCACUUGACCCAGAAUGAUGAAACUUCAUAGGAUGAUUGGUCAUGCAAAGUAGAUGACCCCUAACUAUUUUAGGGUCACUCUGUUAAAGGUCAAGGCCACAGGGGCCUGAACAUGGAAAACCAUUUCCAAUCAAUAACUUGAGAACGUCUCGACCCAGAAUGUUGAAACUUCAUAGGAUGAUUGUUCAUGCAGAGUAAAUUACCCCUAUUGUUUUUGGGGUCACUCCGUUAAAGGUCAAGGUCACAGGGGCCGGAACAUUGAUAACCAGUUCCGAUCAAUAACUUGAGAACCACUUGACCCAGAAUGUUGAAACUUCAUAGGAUGAUUGAACAUGCAGAGUAGAUGACCCCUAUUGAUUUUGGGGUCAGUCUAUUAAAGGUCAAGGUCACAGUGGCCUGUUCAUGUAAAAUCAUUUUUUGGAAAUAACUUGAGAACCACUUGACCUACAAUGUUGAAACUUAAUAGGAUGAUUGGACAUGCAGAGUAGAUGACUCCUAAUUAUUUUGAGGUCACUUGAUCAAAGGUCAAGGUCACAGGAGCCUGAACAGUGACUUGAGAACCACUAGGCCAAGAGUGUUGAAAUUUAGCGGGAUGACUGGACAUGCCAAGUAGAUGAUCCCUAUUGCAGCCAACCAUCAGUGUCUCUUUGACUUUCGCUCCUGACCCCUAUUGACUUCUUGCCUAUAGGACUUUGCAUUGGGGGAGACAUGCGCUUUUUGUACAAAAGCAUUUUCUAGUUUGUUCAUAAUUUUGAAUUGUAUUUAAAAUGUAUAUAUUAAAUCAAAUGGUGGAGUAGACAUGAUUUUGCUUUUACUACUAUUUGUUUCCAUGGCAGCAAAAUGAUUUCCAAAGGUGAAAGGACACUGUCUUUACACAAACACACAUAGAUAUUUUUGUUAUUUUAUCCAAAAAUGUCAUUUAAUAUUAAUGGCUUUAUAGUAACUGCAGCAAAAAAAUAACUAUGAUUUAAAGUUCUUUUUUAAUGCAAGAUGAAUGUUGUAACCAUGGCAACUUGAAAAAAAAAUUGAACAGUCAGGACAAGUAACCAUACAAUACCUUAAAGGCCAGUAUCAGUUGGUUAUGAGUAUUUCCAACUGCUUUGAAACUCAAAAUUAGUUUACCCAAAAGAAGGAAAAGUGCAUACAAGGUUGUUGAGAACUGACCUUGUGACAAUGCUUUAUGCUUCAAAGAUCAUUAUUAUGGUUAUAUCCUUCUUAAUUCUGCCCAGAAUGUGCUUCAGGUGCGUGAGAUGCAUUGACAGUUUGCAGAUGAACUUUUCUUGUUUCAUAGAAUACAAAAUUGAUACAGAAAGUGCUUUAAAAAGGUCUGAAUUAUAAUUUUCUUGUACGUUGCCAUGGUAACGGAACAUUCUCCUUAAUUUCUAGACAAAGUGUUGGACAGUAUAACUUUGUAAAAUGAUUUUACAUGAAAUACUUAUGUUUUGCAAUAAUUCUGUAUCUGGCAAUGUAAUAUUAUUUCAGGUUAUUCUGUAAUUUAGGCGUAAAUGAGUUUGCUGAAAACUCAUUUUUUUGUCAAUUUUCAAAAUUCUGUAAAAAGCUCAAAUAUGAAUGACCCACUAAAAUUCCUCCUUAAAUUGAAAUGGGUAUCAUAGCUCAGCUGAAU